AUUGAACGCUGGCGGCAGGCCUAACACAUGCAAGUCGAGCGGAGCGGCGGACGGGUGCGUAAUGCCUAGGAAUCUGCCUGGUAGUGGGGGAUAGCGUCCGGAAACGGGCGCUAAUAUCGCAUACUAUCAGAUUACCCUAGACCGGUGUAGCUAGUUGGUGGGGUAAAGGCCUACCAAGGCGACGAUCCGUAACUGGUCUGAGAGGUUGAUCAGUCACACUGGACAUGGGAAGCGGUCCAGACUCCUACGGGAGGCAGCAGUGGGGAAGAUUGGACAAUGAGCGAAGUCCUGAUGCAGCCAUGCGGCGUGUGUAAAGAAGGUCUUCGGAUUGAAAAGCACUUUAAGUUGGGAGGCGUUACCAACAGAAUAAGCACCGGCUAACUACGUGCCAGCAGCCGCGGUAAUAC
rnacentral:rRNA from 1 species